CCUACGGGAGGCAGCAGUCGAGAAUUAUUCACAAUGGGGGAAACCCUGAUGGUGCGACGCCGCGUGGGGGAAUGAAGGUCUUCGGAUUGUAAACCCCUGUCAUGUGGGAGCAAAUUAAAAAGAUAGUACCACAAGAGGAAGAGACGGCUAACUCUGUGACAGCAGCCGCGGUAAUACAGAGGUCUCAAGCGUUGUUCGGAAUCACUGGGCGUAAAGCGUGCGUAGGCUGUUUCGUAAGUCGUGUGUGAAAGGCGAGGGCUCAACCCGCGGACGGCACAUGAUACUGCGAGACUAGAGUAAUGGAGGGGGAACCGGAAUUCUCGGUGUAGCAGUGAAAUGCGUAGAUAUCGAGAGGAACACUCGUGGCGAAGGCGGGUUCCUGGACAUUAACUGACGCUGAGGCACGAAGGCCAGGGGAGCGAAAGGGAUUAGAUACCCUUGUAGUC
rnacentral:rRNA from 1 species